rnacentral:tRNA from 1 species
ACAUUCUUAGCUUAGUGGAUAGAGCAAUGGUCUUCUAAACCGGCGGUGGUAGGUUCGAAUCCUAUAGAAUGU